rnacentral:rRNA from 1 species
AGAGUUUGAUCCUGGCUCAGAUUGAACGCUGGCGGCAUGCUUUACACAUGCAAGUCGAACGGCAGCACGGGUGCUUGCACCUGGUGGCGAGUGGCGGACGGGUGAGUAAUACAUCGGAACGUGUCCUUAAGCGGGGGAUAACGCAUCGAAAGAUGUGCUAAUACCGCAUAAUCUCUGAGGAGAAAAGCAGGGGAUCGCAAGACCUUGCACUUUUGGAGCGGCCGAUGUCUGAUUAGCUAGCUGGUGGGGUAAUGGCCUACCAGGGCGACGAUGGUUAGCUGGUCUGAGAGGAUGAUCAGCCACACUGGAACUGACACACGGUCCAGACUCCUACGGGAGGCAGCAGUGAGGAAUUUUGCGCAAUGGGGGAAACCCUGACGCAGCAACGCCGCGUGAGUGAUGAAGGCUCUUGGGUCGUAAAGCUCUGUCAGCAGGGAAGAACUGGUAGUGUAUUAAUAGUGCAUUAUUUUGACGGUACCUGCAAAGGAAGCACCGGCUAACUCCGUGCCAGCAGCCGCGGUAAUACGGGGGGUGCAAGCGUUAUUCGGAAUUAUUGGGCGUAAAGCGCACGCAGGCGGUGUGGUCAGUCAGAUGUGAAAGCCCGGGGCUCAACCCCGGAAGUGCAUUUGAAACAGCCACACUUGAGUACUGGAGAGGAAAGGGGAAUUCCUGGUGUAGAGGUGAAAUUCGUAGAUAUCAGGAGGAACACCGGUGGCGAAGGCGCCUUUCUGGACAGAUACUGACGCUGAGGUGCGAAGGUGUGGGUAGCGAACAGGAUUAGAUACCCUGGUAGUCCACACAGUAAACGUUGUUCACUAGGUGCAGCGGGUAUUAACUCCUGCUGUGCCGCAGCUAACGCAUUAAGUGAACCGCCUGGGGAGUACGGUCGCAAGACUAAAACUCAAAGGAAUUGACGG